AUACGGAGGAUCCAAGCGUUAUCCGGAUUUAUUGGGUUUAAAGGGUGCGCAGGCGGAAGAUUAAGUCGGCGGUGAAAUUUUGCAGCUCAACUGUAAAAGUGCCUUCGAAACUGGUUUCCUUGAGUGUAGAUGAAGUAGGCGGAAUUUGUGGUGUAGCGGUGAAAUGCAUAGAUAUCACGAGGAACUCCGAUUGCGCAGGCAGCUUACUAAACUACUACUGACGCUCAGGCACGAAGGCGUGGGGAUCAAACAGGAUUAGAUACCCUGGUAGUCCACGCAGUAAACGAUGAUUACUAGCUGUUUGCGAUACAAUGUAAGCGGCUGAGCGAAAGCGUUAAGUAAUCCACCUGGGGAGUACGUUCGCAAGAAUGAAACUCAAAUGAAUUGGCGGGG
rnacentral:rRNA from 1 species